rnacentral:lncRNA from 1 species
AGGAUGUGAUCAGCCGUUUUGGGGGCAUGUGUGCAAGAUGAAGGGAUAAAAGCUGAAAGAAAUCAAGGUUCUUUAUGAAGGAGAAAAAAAAUGAUGUCUGUAACAAAUUGGAAAUGUCAUACAUGGAAUCUUUUCCUGAAUUUCCUCCCAAAUUCACAUGUUGAAGCCUGACCUCCAAUGUGACUAUAUUUUGAAAUAGGGCCUAUGGGGAUGUAAUAAGGGUGAAGGGAGGUCAUGAAGGUAAGAUCUUAAUCCAAUAGGACUGUGUCUUUAUAAGAAAAGAAAGAGAAUCUAAGCUUUUUCUUUCUCCAUGUUUACAGAGAAGAGGCCAUGUAAGGACAUAGUGAGAAAGCAGCUGUCUGCAAGCCACAAAGAGAGGCCUCACCAGAAACCAACCCUGCAGGCACCUUGAUCUUGGACUUCCAGCCUCCAGACUAAUGCCGUAUUGUUGGGCCCACUAUGUCCUUAUUUUAUCUGCUGAGGCGACUAUCACAAUGAGUUCAGGGACUACAGCGGUGCUGCCAUUUAUCUUGGGUUGUAGAGUUGGAUCAUCACGGCGAGUCUUUGGAGGCUUGGGCUGUUCUCCAAUAUGCCCUGUAGCUGCCCAGCUGAAUUGGCCAUGGUCAUUCUGCUACAUGCAAAGUACUUUAAUUUUUUAA